CCUACGGGGUGCAGCAGUGGGGAAUAUUGGACAAUGGGCGAAAGCCUGAUCCAGCCAUGCCGCGUGUGUGAAGAAGGCCUUCGGGUUGUAAAGCACUUUCAGUGGGGAAGAAAGCCUUGGGGCUAAUACCCUCGAGGAAGGACAUCACCCACAGAAGAAGCACCGGCUAACUCCGUGCCAGCAGCCGCGGUAAUACGGAGGGUGCGAGCGUUAAUCGGAAUUACUGGGCGUAAAGCGCGCGUAGGCGGUCUGAUAAGCCGGUUGUGAAAGCCCCGGGCUCAACCUGGGAACGGCAUCCGGAACGGUCAGGCUAGAGUGCAGGAGAGGAAGGUAGAAUUCCCGGUGUAGCGGUGAAAUGCGUAGAGAUCGGGAGGAAUACCAGUGGCGAAGGCGGCCUUCUGGACUGACACUGACGCUGAGGUGCGAAAGCGUGGGUAGCAAACAGGAUUAGAUACCCCUGUAGUC
rnacentral:rRNA from 1 species